CAAUACAUAGGAAUACGGAGUAAUUACCAGGUAGGUUCACUACAUAGGAAUACGGAGUAAUUACCAGGUAGGUUCACAACAUAGGAAUACGGAGUAAUUACCAGGUAGGUUCACAACAUAGGAAUACGGAGUAAUUACCAGGUAGGUUCACUACAUAGGAAUACGGUGUAAUUACCAGGUAGGUUCACUACAUAGGAAUACAUUGUAAUUACCAGGUAGGUUCACUACAUAGGAAUACAGUGUAAUUACCAGGUAGGUUCACUACAUAGGAAUAAGGUGUAAUUACCAGGUAGGUUCACUACAUAGGAAUACGGAGUAAUUACCAGGUAGGUUCACUACAUAGGAAAUUACCAGGUAGGUUCACUACAUAGGAAUACAGUGUAAUUACCAGGUAGGUUCACUACAUAGGAAUACGGAGUAAUUACCAGGUAGGUUCACUACAUAGGAAAUUACCAGGUAGGUUCACUACAUAGGAAUACAGUGUAAUUACCAGGUAGGUUCACUACAUAGGAAUACUGUGUAAUUACCAGGUAGGUUCACUACAUAGGAAAUUACCAGGUAGGUUCACUACAUAGGAAUACAGUGUAAUUACCAGGUAGGUUCACUACAUAGGAAUACGGAGUAAUUACCAGGUAGGUUCACUACAUAGGAAUACAGUGUAAUUACCAGGUAGGUUCACUACUUAGGAAAUUACCAGGUAGAUUCACUACAUAGGAAUACAGUGUAAUUACCAUGUAGGUUCACUACAUAGGAAUACAGUGUAAUUACCAUGUAAGUUCACUACAUAGGAAUACAGUGUAAUUACCAUGUAGGUUAACUACGUAGGAAUACGGUGUAAUUACCAGGUAGGUUCACUACAUAGGAAUAACGUGUAAUUACCAGGUAGGUUCACUACAUAGGAAUACGGUGUAAUUACCAGGUAGGUUCAAUACAUAGGAAUACGGUGUAAUCACCAGGUAGGUUCACUACAUAGGAAUACUGUGUAAUUACCAGAUAUGUUCACUAGAUAGGAAUACUGGAUGAUUACCAUGUAGCUUCACUACAUAGGAAUACAGUGUAAUUACCAGGUAGGUUCACUACAUAGGAAUACAGUGUAAUUACCAGGCAAGUUCACUACAUAGGAAUACGGUGUAAUUACCAGGUAGGUUCACUACAUAGGAAUACGGUGUAAUUACCAGGUAGGUUCACUACAUAGGAAUACUGUGUAAUUACCAGGUAGGUUCACUACAUAGGAAAUUACCAGGUAGGUUCACUACAUAGGAAUACAGUGUAAUUACCAGGUAG